GAUGAACGCUGGCGGCGUGCCUAAUACAUGCAAGUCGAGCGAACAGACGAGGAGCUUGCUCCUCUGACGUUAGCGGCGGACGGGUGAGUAACACGUGGAUAACCUACCUAUAAGACUGGGAUAACUUCGGGAAACCGGAGCUAAUACCGGAUAAUAUAUUGAACCGCAUGGUUCAAUAGUGAAAGACGGUUUUGCUGUCACUUAUAGAUGGAUCCGCGCCGCAUUAGCUAGUUGGUAAGGUAACGGCUUACCAAGGCAACGAUGCGUGGCCGACCUGAGAGGGUGCUCGGCCACACUGGACCUGAGACACGGUCCAGACUCCUACGGGAGGCAGCAGUAGGGAAUCUUCCGCAAUGGGCGAAAGCCUGACGGAGCAACGCGGCGUGAGUGAUGAAGGUCUUCGGAUCGUAAAACUCUGUUAUUAGGGAAGAACAAAUGUGUAAGUAACGAUGCACGUCUUGACGGUACCUAAUCAGAAAGCCACGGCUAACUACGU
rnacentral:rRNA from 1 species